rnacentral:rRNA from 1 species
UACGAAGGGGGCUAGCGUUGCUCGGAAUUACUGGGCGUAAAGCGCACGUAGGCGGUCUUUUAAGUCGGGGGUGAAAUCCUGGAGCUCAACUCCAGAACUGCCUUCGAUACUGGAAGACUUGAGUGCGGGAGAGGAAAGUGGAAUUCCACGUGUAGCGGUGAAAUGCGUAGAGAUGUGGAGGAACACCAGUGGCGAAGGCGACUUUCUGGCCCGUAACUGACGCUGAGGCGCGAAAGCGUGGGGAGCAAACAGG